UACGUAGGGUGCAAGCGUUAAUCGGAAUUACUGGGCGUAAAGCGUGCGCAGGCGGUUAUAUAAGACAGAUGUGAAAUCCCCGGGCUCAACCUGGGAACUGCAUUUGUGACUGUAUAGCUAGAGUACGGUAGAGGGGGAUGGAAUUCCGCGUGUAGCAGUGAAAUGCGUAGAUAUGCGGAGGAACACCGAUGGCGAAGGCAGCCCCCUGGGACAACACUGACGCUCAUGCACGAAAGCGUGGGGAGCAAACAGG
rnacentral:rRNA from 1 species